AAAUCCCUGCGGUGUACGUGAUGGGAGUGAAAAAUCUUGAGCCAACAGCAUCUUAAUUGGGAGCCUAACUUUACAGGCGCUUAGGCGUCUGUUCGAGGGCCCCCACCUGUAACAUAACAGGGUCAAGAUAAUUCAAUUUCACACGGCACUUGCGGGGAUUUU
rnacentral:other from 1 species